UUGAAAUGUAAACAUUAGGGAUACGUGUUACGUGAAAUACUCUCAUGCUCUAUAAUUGAUACAAUUUUGAUUACAACAUUGUUAUAUAUUUAAGAGGAAAUGUUCGGUGGAAUUCUCUUAUACGAACGCGAACUCCUAUUAACAGCACGAAAAGUCACAGAUGGUAGGGAGAAAUAGGUGGCACUCCUAUCAUAUCAAUGACUUGGUUAUAUGAAUCAGCUUGUCCCCCGUCAAGUUCAAGUUUAUAUAUCGUCAUAUGAUUGAUGUACAGUAGAUUACGAUUUAAAUUGUAUACAUGGCAAAAAUGAACACUCAUUGUUCUUGAUAUUUGUAGACUUUGUAUAUAUACGGAUUCUCGUUUCGUACAAUUUGCAUUAUUAUCGAGGAAUUGUAGAGAGUCCACUUACAAAAUGUUCGAAGUCCAUCACGUUGAUGUUCAAAGUCCUUCCUUCACAGAAUUUCAGAGUUAAAGUCCACGUAUGAGAUCGUAAAUCGUCAUCGGGUGAGGCAAGGAAAGGCGCAAAUGCAAUAACACCGGUGAUGAUCUCACGUAUUUAAGACUAAAUUGUCCUAUGUGGAAUAGCCGCAAAAUUUCACGCGUAGUUUGCGCACUAUAUUUAAAUCGUGUCUUAAUGCGAUGUAAUAAUGCGAAUGACACGAUGCAAACUAUUAUCAUUUACAGGGUUAUGAAUAUUGAGUCAGUGAAGGUAUGGAGCAAACAUACAUCCUUUAUUAUUCGCUACAUCAUUGCGAUUUUGUCAUUGAACUUCCGAGAUCAAACCGAGGGCAUAGUUGAUUGAAUCAACUUGAAAUACGUUCGAGAGGAGUUUAAAGAGGCAGUCAAGUGAAUAGAAGUUGCUCGAGCAUUAUGAGACCCAAUAACGGUGUGCGUUGAGAGAAAUACUUGGCUGCCCGAGGCAGAAGUGGAAUAAACACACUAGAUCUACUUAGAACAACGGUCAACCUUUGCCAACAACAAGCGAAUCGAAGAAAUGUUUCCAAACAGUUCAACAGGUUUGACACCGCUGAGACGCUGGUCCGAGGAUUGGCACGCACUGUAUCCUUCAACCUCGUUAAAGAAUUGCUAAUUCGUACUUCGAAUUCAAUGACCUUGAACAUGUUUCGAAUAGAUCAUAAGCCGCACCAUAUCUUAUACAAAUAGGGCAUGUCAAAAUGAUUAAAAAAUAUGUGUAGAAUUAUGAAUAUUGUAAGAUUGAUGAGAAAACCUUGGCAUCGAGUGAUGAAAUUAUAGCGUGAUGAUAUAGAUA